rnacentral:rRNA from 1 species
UACGUAGGGUGCGAGCGUUAAUCGGAAUUACUGGGCGUAAAGCGUGCGCAGGCGGUUUUGUAAGCCAGAUGUGAAAUCCCCGGGCUUAACCUGGGAAUGGCAUUUGGGACUGCAAGGCUCGAGUGCGGCAGAGGAGACUGGAAUUCCUGGUGUAGCAGUGAAAUGCGUAGAUAUCAGGAGGAACACCGAUGGCGAAGGCAGGUCUCUGGGCUGACACUGACGCUCAUGCACGAAAGCGUGGGGAGC